GCUGUCUCUCCAGGAGGAGGCAGCCUCUGCGCCGGGCCCCAGCGGCCUCUCCAAGCUGCCUUCCUUCAUCUCCCUGCAGUCCUCGCCGAGCCCAGGAGGCCAGCCCAGGUCCCAGACCCCCAGGAACCCCCCAACUAAGGGCUCAGGGAAAACUCUGCACAUCAAACCUCGGCUGUGAGGCCCCGGGGGCCCUGCCCACCUCAGCCCCUCGCUCUUGGAAAGGAAGGAGCCUCCGCCUGCCUCAGCCCCAGAGGAGGGGCCACCUGCCAUCGAGCCCCACCCUGGGGCCCCGGGCUCACUGCUCUGCCCGCCUGGCUCUCAGACUUCCGUGACCAGGGCGUGCUCAGGGGCGCACCUCCUGCUCCCGGGCUGCCCUGCCCGCCCCCCCUGCACACUCACCUUCCCAUCCCUGGGUCCUCAGCUUCACACCCAGGAUGUGCCCCGAUCCCCAGCACAGGGGGGUGCCAGGCAAGGCUCCCCACAGGGCCUGUGCCCGCUGUGGGGGUGGCAGCCACACAGCACACCCCUAGGCCUCCUCCCGGGACCCCCCGGGGGGUGUGUUCAGCAAUAAAGGCUCUGUCCUGUGUC